GAAUUUUAUAUAAAAAUAUUUUAGAUUAGUUUAGUUUAAAUAUUUAGUAUUUAGUUGGGAGGAUUAUUAAAUUUAAAAAACUUUAAUAUUUAAUUACAUAGAUUAAUGAAUUAUAUAAAUAAAGAUUGAUUUAAAAAUGUAUAAAGAGUAAAUUACCUUAGGGAUAACAGCGUAAUAUUUUUAGAGAGAUCAUAUUAAUAAAAAUUAUUGC
rnacentral:rRNA from 1 species